AAAUUGAAGAGUUUGAUCAUGGCUCAGAUUGAACGCUGGCGGCAGGCCUAACACAUGCAAGUCGAACGGUAACAGGAAGCAGCUUGCUGCUUCGCUGACGAGUGGCGGACGGGUGAGUAAUGUCUGGGAAACUGCCUGAUGGAGGGGGAUAACUACUGGAAACGGUAGCUAAUACCGCAUAACGUCGCAAGACCAAAGAGGGGGACCUUCGGGCCUCUUGCCAUCGGAUGUGCCCAGAUGGGAUUAGCUUGUUGGUGGGGUAACGGCUCACCAAGGCGACGAUCCCUAGCUGGUCUGAGAGGAUGACCAGCCACACUGGAACUGAGACACGGUCCAGACUCCUACGGGAGGCAGCAGUGGGGAAUAUUGCACAAUGGGCGCAAGCCUGAUGCAGCCAUGCCGCGUGUAUGAAGAAGGCCUUCGGGUUGUAAAGUACUUUCAGCGGGGAGGAAGGGAGUAAAGUUAAUACCUUUGCUCAUUGACGUUACCCGCAGAAGAAGCACCGGCUAACUCCGUGCCAGCAGCCGCGGUAAUACGGAGGGUGCAAGCGUUAAUCGGAAUUACUGGGCGUAAAGCGCACGCAGGCGGUUUGUUAAGUCAGAUGUGAAAUCCCCGGGCUCAACCUGGGAACUGCAUCUGAUACUGGCAAGCUUGAGUCUCGUAGAGGGGGGUAGAAUUCCAGGUGUAGCGGUGAAAUGCGUAGAGAUCUGGAGGAAUACCGGUGGCGAAGGCGGCCCCCUGGACGAAGACUGACGCUCAGGUGCGAAAGCGUGGGGAGCAAACAGGAUUAGAUACCCUGGUAGUCCACGCCGUAAACGAUGUCGACUUGGAGGUUGUGCCCUUGAGGCGUGGCUUCCGGAGCUAACGCGUUAAGUCGACCGCCUGGGGAGUACGACCGCAAGGUUAAAACUCAAAUGAAUUGACGGGGGCCCGCACAAGCGGUGGAGCAUGUGGUUUAAUUCGAUGCAACGCGAAGAACCUUACCUGGUCUUGACAUCCACAGAACUUUCCAGAGAUGGAUUGGUGCCUUCGGGAACUGUGAGACAGGUGCUGCAUGGCUGUCGUCAGCUCGUGUUGUGAAAUGUUGGGUUAAGUCCCGCAACGAGCGCAACCCUUAUCCUUUGUUGCCAGCGGUCCGGCCGGGAACUCAAAGGAGACUGCCAGUGAUAAACUGGAGGAAGGUGGGGAUGACGUCAAGUCAUCAUGGCCCUUACGACCAGGGCUACACACGUGCUACAAUGGCGCAUACAAAGAGAAGCGACCUCGCGAGAGCAAGCGGACCUCAUAAAGUGCGUCGUAGUCCGGAUUGGAGUCUGCAACUCGACUCCAUGAAGUCGGAAUCGCUAGUAAUCGUGGAUCAGAAUGCCACGGUGAAUACGUUCCCGGGCCUUGUACACACCGCCCGUCACACCAUGGGAGUGGGUUGCAAAAGAAGUAGGUAGCUUAACCUUCGGGAGGGCGCUUACCACUUUGUGAUUCAUGACUGGGGUGAAGUCGUAACAAGGUAACCGUAGGGGAACCUGCGGUUGGAUCACCUCCUUACCUUAAAGAAGC
rnacentral:rRNA from 1 species